rnacentral:rRNA from 1 species
GUGAACGCUGGCGGUAGGCCUAACACAUGCAAGUCGAACGGCAGCACAGUAAGAGCUUGCUCUUACGGGUGGCGAGUGGCGGACGGGUGAGGAAUACAUCGGAAUCUACUUUUUCGUGGGGGAUAACGUAGGGAAACUUACGCUAAUACCGCAUACGACCUACGGGUGAAAGCAGGGGAUCUUCGGACCUUGCGCGAUUGAAUGAGCCGAUGUCGGAUUAGCUAGUUGGCGGGGUAAAGGCCCACCAAGGCGACGAUCCGUAGCUGGUCUGAGAGGAUGAUCAGCCACACUGGAACUGAGACCCGGUCCAGACUCCUACGGGAGGCAGCAGUGGGGAAUAUUGGACAAUGGGCGCAAGCCUGAUCCAGCCAUACCGCGUGGGUGAAGAAGGCCUUCGGGUUGUAAAGCCCUUUUGUUGGGAAAGAAAAGCAGCAGGUUAAUACCCCGCUGUUCUGACGGUACCCAAAGAAUAAGCACCGGCUAACUUCGU